ACCAACAGACACAUGAAAAGAUGCUCACCAUCACUCGUCAGUGAAAUACAAGUGAAAACCAUGAUGAGCUAGAGCUAUGGAAGCAAAUUCCAGGUUAUAGGCAUGGACCAAGAAAACAAUAUAAAGCUACAAUACAUGGAUGGCAUGUUUGCUGGGUUAUAUGGAUGGGUGGAGAGCUGCUCUGGAUGUUUCUUACCAGUGCUUUGCAAUAUAGCAAAUGGAAUGCUUCAAUUUGACAAGUU